rnacentral:tRNA from 1 species
GGGUGGAUACCCAAGUGGCUAAAGGGGCCAGACUGUAAAUCUGGUGGCACUGCCUUCGCAGGUUCGAAUCCUGCUCCACCCA